rnacentral:rRNA from 2 species
GAAUGACUCUCGGCAACGGAUAUCUAGGCUCUUGCAUCGAUGAAGAACGUAGCGAAAUGCGAUACUUGGUGUGAAUUGCAGAAUCCCGUGAACCAUCGAGUCUUUGAACGCAAGUUGCGCCCGAAGCCAUCAGGUUGAGGGCACGUCUGCCUGGGCGUCACAUA